rnacentral:rRNA from 1 species
CCUACGGGAGGCUGCAGUGGGGAAUAUUGGACAAUGGGGGCAACCCUGAUCCAGCCAUGCCGCGUGUGUGAAGAAGGCCCUCGGGUUGUAAAGCACUUUCAGUGAGGAAGAACGCCUGGUGGUUAAUACCCAUCAGGAAAGACAUCACUCUCAGAAGAAGCACCGGCUAACUCCGUGCCAGCAGCCGCGGUAAUACGGAGGGUGCGAGCGUUAAUCGGAAUUACUGGGCGUAAAGCGCGCGUAGGUGGCUUGAUAAGCCGGUUGUGAAAGCCCCGGGCUCAACCUGGGAACGGCAUCCGGAACUGUCAAGCUAGAGUGCAGGAGAGGAAGGUAGAAUUCCCGGUGUAGCGGUGAAAUGCGUAGAGAUCGGGAGGAAUACCAGUGGCGAAGGCGGCCUUCUGGACUGACACUGACACUGAGGUGCGAAAGCGUGGGUAGCAAACAGGAUUAGAUACCCUGGUAGUC